CUACGGGUUGCACCAGUGGGGAAUCUUAGACAAUGGGCGCAAGCCUGAUCUAGCCAUGCCGCGUGAGUGAUGAAGGCCUUAGGGUCGUAAAGCUCUUUCGCUGGGGAAGAUAAUGACGGUACCCAGUAAAGAAACCCCGGCUAACUCCGUGCCAGCAGCCGCGGUAAUACGGAGGGGGUUAGCGUUGUUCGGAAUUACUGGGCGUAAAGCGCGCGUAGGCGGACUGUUAAGUCGGGGGUGAAAUCCCGGGGCUCAACCCCGGAACGGCCUUCGAUACUGGCAGUCUGGAGUUCGAGAGAGGUGAGUGGAAUUCCGAGUGUAGAGGUGAAAUUCGUAGAUAUUCGGAGGAACACCAGUGGCGAAGGCGGCUCACUGGCUCGAUACUGACGCUGAGGUGCGAAAGUGUGGGGAGCAAACAGGAUUAGAUACCCCGGUAGUC
rnacentral:rRNA from 1 species